AUCCAGCUGACGAGUCCGAAAUGGGACGAAACGUGCGAUCUGGAU
rnacentral:hammerhead_ribozyme from 1 species